ensembl:misc_RNA
UCUUGAAUUGAUGAAACACUUAAAAAUGAAGAUCAAAUGUCCAUCUCAAAUACUGCUUUUACAAAAGCAGAAUAUAAAAGAAAAAUGAAAAUGA